rnacentral:tRNA from 1 species
GCGUUUGUAGUCCAACGGUUAAGAUAAUUGCCUUCCAAGCAAUGGACCCUAGUUCAACUCCAGGCAGACGCA